AGGGGAUGUGACAUAUCCUAGUACUACGAAUAAGUCUGUCCACAUUCGUAGUACUAGGAUAUGUCACAUCUCUC
rnacentral:misc_RNA from 1 species